rfam:Felis catus isolate Cinnamon breed Abyssinian chromosome E1, whole genome shotgun sequence.
GCCUGGGUGGCUCAGUUGGUUGAGCGUCCGACUUCGGCUCAGGUCAUGAUCUCACGGAUUGUGAGUUCGAGCCCCACGUCGGGCU